CAGUGCAAUAGUAUUGUC
rnacentral:ncRNA from 3 species